GAGCAAUCUUUCAUCAUGGGGGAGCACAUGUUUUCAGCAGCUAGAAAUUUAUGGUCAUUCUGCACGGAUGGAAACAUCUUAUUAAUGUGUUAUUACUAAUGAUAGUAUUUUAAGACUCGACUUCAGCUCCAAUAGUAGAAAAUGAGAAAAUAGACAUUUGUUUUAUGAAUAAAAACGCGUUUGGGAGCAGCAGCGUGAGUAGGCCGCAGCAGCUUUUCAAGUGUGAUGGUAAUUAAUAACACAGAACCGGACAGGGUGAUGGUGCAGUGACCACGUCUCUACACGUGACAGCAGGUCAGCUAAGGCCUCCGAGAGGAGCUUUGCUGUUGAUGGAUCUUUGUAAUCAAAGAAUUCUCUCAGACUGCUGUGCUCAAAGACUGGAAGUACAAAAGGUAUACAAACAAGCUCUAUAUGCAUUCUGAACAAAAUUUUGCAGUGUAUUUUUCUGAAUAAAAAUAAAGCAUUUAAAACACGAA